UACUUCAUAAACGAAGCACAACCUUAUUAAUGUUUGUUUGGAUUGAACAAUGGCUAUCUUGUAGGUGUUUGGUGAGAUCAAGGCCAGGGUUCUACUAAGCUAUUAUUUGUAGUUGAUAGAUCUGAUUCGCACCUGUUACUCGUCCAUUGACGCGUUAUUACAGCUCUUAGAUAAGCAAAACAAAACAUCUUGGUCCUUACCAUCAGCCAAAAGAAUUAGAAAGUGCUUUUGGCCGAAAUACUCAUCUUUUAUUCAAUUAGUCAAUGAAGCAAGCGUCCAAACAUUUCGUUCAAAUAAGUAAACGACGGGAAGAGUUGUGUGGUCAAGCGAGCUUUGAAUACAGAUUUGGGCAAUUAAAAAGUGGGUGAACUAGUGAAAAUACAAUAAGGUGUGUUACGUUCGAGCACAUUGUUAUGCAGACGUUCUCGGAAGAGCGCACGAUGCAUAAAUUGCUCGGGGGUGGAAUUGGAUCAGUUCUAAAAAUAAGAGUUUUCUGCAUUGAGUCACUCUUGAGCAAUAAUCGCUUAUCUAAAUUAGCAAACAAAUAUUCACUUGCAACAAAAAUAUCAUUUAUUCGUCAUGUGCAAGUGGCUGUGGCGACGCUCCUCUGCGAAAUCCUCCUACGGGGUGAGAUCGCACGGAUCCCGCAAAUCCAGCGUGGCUGAUAUUUCCGGGAUGGAGGAGGAAGCCAAGGUGGAAUCCCCCUCGGAGUCGUACAGAGUGAUGAAGGACAACUAGAGGCGAAAUAAUGUUACUGUUACAAUGAAAAGCGUUGUCGUUGGUGGCGAAAUGUAAUCACGCGCACGUUAUUUGCUUUACAUAAAAGAGAAACGACAGUUCCCGAUUUCCAUCGCAUGAAAUUGUAGUCACAUAUUCGUAGUUUGUACAAAAUAAAUAUGUAAAAGCAC